GGUGGCGUGGCCUAAUGGUAAGGCGUUGCUUUCCGGUGGCAAAGACUGUGGGUUCGAGUCCCAUCGCCAUCG
rnacentral:tRNA from 8 species